rnacentral:rRNA from 1 species
UUUUUGUAAAAUAAAUAAAAUAGGAUUUAAUAGUAAAUUKAUUUAAUGAUUUAUAAUGAAUAAAGAUUCUAGAAUAUGUACACAUUGCCCGUCGCUCUUAUUUAAAAUAAGAWAAGUCGUAACAUAGUAGAUGUACCGGAAGGUGUAUCUGGAACUAAGUAAAUAGUUUAAGAUUAAAAACUUGUUAUUUACAUUAAUAAAAUAUUAUAAAAUUUUACUUACUUAAUAGGUUAAUAUAUAUUUUUAUAAAAAACUAUAGGGGGAAGCUAUAGUAAUUAAAUAGAAAUUUUAUUUUUGUACCUUUUGUAUCAGGGUUAAUUAAAUCUUUUUUUUUAGUAAAAUUUUCUCGAAAAAAAAAGAUUUAAAUUUAUAAUAUUUUUAUUGUAAAAUAACUAAGUUUAAUAUAUUUUUAGUAGUGAUAAGCUAGUCAAUUUUUUAUAUCUAGUUGCUUUUAUUUUAAUUUAAUUAAUUUGAUUUUUGUUUUAUAAGAAUUAAUAAUUAAUUUAGGGGUAAGCUUAAAUUAACGUUUACAGAUAGAGAAGUUUAAUAAAUAGUAAGCUUAAAAUUAGUUUUAUUUAUUAUGUUAUAAUUAAUUAUUUUAUAUUAAUAUUUUUUAUUUAUCUUUAAGGGGAGCUAAAGUUAAAUAAUAUAAUUUUUUAUUAUAAAAAUAAUGMUUAAAUSAGUAGGUUAAAUUUAAAU